rnacentral:misc_RNA from 1 species
UCCGGUUUGGCACCGGCAGUCUCCCUAGAGUUCCCGGCAUGACCCGCUGGCAACUAAGGAUAGGGGUUGCGCUCGUUGCGCCACUUAAGGCAACACCUCACGGCACGAGCUGACGACAGCCAUGCAACACCUGUACACGAGCCCCGAAAGGCUGCCGUAUUUCUACGACACUCCCGUGCAUGUCAAACCCAGGUAAGGUUCUUCGCGUUGCCUCGAAUUAAGCCACACGCUCCGCUGCUUGUGCGGGCCCCCGCCUAUUCCUUUGAGUUUUAACCUUGCGGCCGUAGUCCCCAGGCGGUGAACUUAAUGCGUUAGCUGCGGCACUGAUCGGGUCAAUCCGACCAACACCUAGUUCACAACGUUUAGGGCGUGGACUAC